UACAGAGGGUGCAAGCGUUAAUCGGAAUUACUGGGCGUAAAGCGUGCGUAGACGGUUGCGUAAGUCAGAUGUGAAAGCCCCGGGCUCAACCUGGGAAUUGCAUUUGAGACUGCGUAGCUAGGGUGCGGAAGAGGGAAGCGGAAUUUCCGGUGUAGCGGUGAAAUGCGUAGAUAUCGGAAGGAACACCAGUGGCGAAGGCGGCAUCCUGGACCGAUACUGACGCUGAGGAGCGAAAGCCAGGGGAGCAAACGGG
rnacentral:rRNA from 1 species